rnacentral:rRNA from 1 species
GAUGAACGCUAGCGGCAGGCCUAAUACAUGCAAGUCGAACGGGUGGUAGCAAUACCACUAGUGGCGCACGGGUGCGUAACGCGUAACCAACCUACCUGGAUCUGGGGGAUAGCCCGCCGAAAGGCGGAUUAAUACCGCAUAAGCAGGAGAGACGGCAUCGUCUUUUUUGAAAGAUUUAUGGAUUCAGAUGGGGUUGCGUAGCAUUAGCUAGUUGGCGGGGUAACGCCCACAAGGCGACGNUGCUUAGGGGACCUGAGAGGUGAUCCCCACACUGGCACUGAGAUACGGGCCAGACUCCUACGGGAGGCAG